rnacentral:rRNA from 1 species
CCGGGAGGGGAUAAGGGCGCCACGCCCUGACCCCUCGAUCCCAUCCCCCACUCCUUCCCUCUCUCCCUCCCCACAGAUCUCCCAUGCCCCAAGCACGUCCAUGGCCGCGUCAUCGUCGUUCCCAUGGCCGGAGCCGUCCCCGACCCGUGAGGUUAUGCUCUGCAGCUCCGUUGGCCUCGUCUGCAUCGCCUACAACCUUCGGUUCGAGCUGAAGCCCUCCACAACCUCGCCAUCUGGUCGUCUUCCCCGCCACGGCCACGGCGCCAUCGCCGUCGAUCUCCAUCACCGGCGCCUCCCGGUGGUUCCAGGCACAUCCACGACCUCCCUCGAAACUACGAGACCGACGCUGCUGCUGCCCAGCUCGACUACGGAGUUGACGACCCCUCUCUCUUGCCAGAGCAACCAGGCAAGCCCCCCCCCUUGAUCACCAGAUAUCGCCUAUUCUCCUCUAUACUGCUUGCAUUAGAGUAGUGUAGCAUGU